UGUUUUUGUCUUUGUCUCGGGCUGUUGGAGUCAGUGUCAGUGGAGGAAAGGAUGAUGAGAGGAGGACACUCAGUCUGCUGGAGGAAAGGAUGAUGAGAGGAGGACCCUCAGUCUGCUGGAGGAAAGGAUGAUGAGAGGAGGACCCUCAGUCUGCUGCAGGAAAGGAUGAUGAGAGGAGGACCCUCAGUCUGCUGGAGGAAAGGAUGAUGAGAGGAGGACCCUCAGUCUGCUGGAGGAAAGGAUGAUGAGAGGAGGACCCUCAGUCUGCUGGAGGAAAGGAUGAUGAGAGGAGGACCCUCAGUCUGCUGGAGGAAAAGAUGAUGAGAGGAGGACCCUCAGUCUGCUGGAGGAAAGGGAGAGAUGUUGAGAGGAGGACCCUCAGUCUGCUGGAGGAAAGGGAGAGAUGAUGAGAGGAGGACCCUCCGUCUGCUGGAGGAAAGGGAGAGAUGAUGAGAGGAGGACCCUCAGUCUGCUGCUAUCUCUGUCCGCUGAGACUGACCAUGAGAUGCAGGCACCACCAGCCCAGUAAAAUAAAAACCUAAUGACUUAAAAGUAUGCUCACUCAGCUGUGCCUGACAAGUGAUAUAACAACUAAUCUAUUACCGGUGUGAUUAUAUCGCCUACCUCCAAUUUCAGAAAUAUAUAUUGUUUUAAAUGUCCCAAACAGCAAUGCAUUGGCAGAGCAAUUCAAGCAAAGCCAAUAUGCAGGGAUACUGUAUUGGGCCUACAGCUUACUGCACAAACCUCAUUACUACAGUACUGUUUUUAACUGGUUAAUGUUGUGUAACGGAUGUGAAACGGCUAGCUAGUUAGCGGUGGUGCGCGCUAAAUAGCGUUUCAAUCGGUGACGUCACUUGCUCUGAGACCUUGAAGUAGUUGUUCCCCUUGCUCUGCAAGGGCCACGGCUUUUGUGGAGCGAUGGGUAACGAUGCUUCGAGGGGUGACUGUUGUUGAUGUGUGCAGAGGGUCCCUGGUUCACGCCCGGGUAUGGGCGAGGGGACGGUCUAAACUUAUACUGUUACAGUUGCAUAGUUUUAUGUUUUUUUAAGUCAUGUUAAUAUAAAAUCUGAGCCUUAGUUCUCGGAUUGCAUUUUGACUCAGAAAGUGAUCUUUACUCAGAAAAGGUUGGUGACCACUGUUCUAGAGUUUGCCCUGUUAACACUAUCAAUGUUUCCCUUUACUGUGGCAGUUGUGAUUGAAUCAACCCAAUAUUAGCCACUUUCAAUGCAACAUACCGAAACAAAACUAAUGAUGCUAGAGAUUUUGAUGUAGGCAGGAUUCUUAUUGCAUUGAUGUACAAGACCCUACCGUACACAGACUGGUGUGGCAUAAACAAUCAGAGUCUAUUUAAGCAAUAAGGCCCGAGGGUGUCAGGUAUAUGACCAAUAUACCACAGCUAAGGGCUGUUCUCUGCAUGAUGCCAUGCCAGAGUGCCUGGAUACAGCUGUUAGCCUUGGUAUAUUAGCCACAUACCAUAAACCCUAGAGGUGCCUUAUUGCUAUUAUAAACUGGUUGCCAAUGAAAAAAUACAUGUUUUGUCAUACUUGUGGUAUACGGUCUAAUAUACCAUGGCUGUCAACCAAUCAACAUCCACGGCACAAACCACCGAGUUUAUAAAUGCAAAUAGACCAUUGCCAUGGAUCUUUGCCACUUACUUUGAACUGGACUGUGUUUACAGCAUGAGCGGUCGUGAGUUGAUGCUUUUGUUUUGAGAUCAAAGUGAGAGCAGCAUGUAGCCACUUGUGCACAUUUUGUUCAUAUCCUCUGUUAGUUAGUGAGUUAUUAGUCCAGUUAUAGAUCAUUAUUAGUCAGCAAUAGGGGAGUGAUUACUAGUUAGUUAUUAGCCCAGUUAUAGAUCAUUAUUAGUCAGCAAUAGGGGAGUGAUUACUAGUUAGUUAGUAGUCCAGUUAUAGAUCAUUAUUAGUCAGCAAUAGGGGAGUGAUUACUAGUUAGUUAGUAGUCCAGUUAUAGAUCAUUAUUAGUCAGCAAUAGGGGAGUGAUUACUAGUUAGUUAUUAGCCCAGUUAUAGAUCAUUAUUAGUCAGCAAUAGGGGAGUGAUUACUAGUUAGUUAGUAGUCCAGUUAUAGAUCAUUAUUAGUCAGCAAUAGGGGAGUGAUUACUAGUUAGUUAGUAGUCCAGUUAUAGAUCAUUAUUAGUCAGCAAUAGGGGAGUGAUUACUAGUUAGUUAUUAGCCCAGUUAUAGAUCAUUAUUAGUCAGCAAUAGGGGAGUGAUUACUAGUUAGUUAGUAGUCCAGUUAUAGAUCAUUAUUAGUCAACAAUAGGAGAGUGAUUGUUUCAUGUAAGAGCUCAAAACAUGUACAUUUCUAGACAUCUCUGAAAAGCAAGUCAAGUAAAGAGCUUUUUUUUGUCUUAAAGGGGCAGUGUUGUAUUUUGAGACAGGAUUGAAUGGGCAGAGGGUGGUAUAAUUAAUGUGUCUGAUUGUUUGUAAUAAUGGUAUGGGAAUAAUAAUGCGUUUCAU
ensembl:lncRNA